AGACUUAUUUUGGAAUAGUUGCCCUUAUAUCAUCCAAGUCGAAGAAUUGUGUUUUCCCACAUCUUUGAGAUAAAAUCCACAUAGUAUAAAAUUUACCAUUUUAAAGUGUAAAGUUUGUGGUUACAGUAUAUUCACAGAUUUGUGAAAUUGUCUUUAUAUAAUUCCAGAGCAUUUUCAUCGCUGUAAAAAGUUUUCUGUAUCCAUGAAGAGUGACUGCCUGUUCUUAACCCUCAACCCCUGGCAACUACUCAUCUUCGUAUGCUUAUGAAUUUGCCUAUUUUGGACAUCUCAUGUUAAUGGAGCCAUACAAUAUGUGGCCUUUUUGUCUGUUUUGCCACCUUCCCCAAAGUAAUGAGUUCAAACUACAUCUGUGUUGUAGCAUGUACUGGUACUGUUUCUUUUGUGGCUGAAUAUUGUCAUAUUGAUAUACUGUAUCUUUUUUUGCUUGUUCUUUUGGUUGUGGAUACUUGUGUUCUUUCUGCUUUGCAUACUAUGAAUACUACAACUAUGAACACUUUGUGUACAUGUUUUCAUUUCUCUUAUGUCUUAAGCAUCUUAUGGUUUUAGUUCGUAAAUUUCUGUCUUUGAUCCAUUUUUGCAUGUGGUGCAUUGUAGGGGUCCAGUUUCAUUCUUUAAUAUGUGGAUAUCUAGUAGAACAAUACCUAAUUGUUAAAAAUACUAAUAAUAAUUUCUUUAUAAAUGGGCUUGGUAUCCUUGUCAGAAACACAUAUAAAAGUGACUAAUAUAAAUAUGGCUAGUUUUGGACUCUUCAACUUUAUUCCAUUGUCCUGUGUGUCUCUCUUCUUGUGCCAGUACCAUACUGUCUUAAUUACUGUAGCUAUAUAGUAAGCUUUGAAUUUAGGAUAUAUUAGGUCUCUAGCUUUGUUCUACAUCAAGAUCAUUUUACCUAUUCUGAGUCCCUUGCAGUCCACUUGGAUUUUAGGAUUUAUUUAAUUUCUACAUAAAAAGCAUCUGUGAUUUUGAUAGUAUUUGUGUUGAAUCAAUACAUCAGAUUGAAGUAUGGUGGUAUUUUAACAGUAUUAAAUUUUCUAAUCCAUAAACAUGGAGUGUCUUUCCAUUUAUUUAGGUUUGUAAUUUCCUUUAAUGUUGUUCUUAUAGAUUUCAGUGUAUACAUCUUGGCUUUUUUGGGUUAAAUGUUUUUCACUUGAUGCUAUUAUAAAACAACUUUUUUUUAAAAAAAAUAUUUGUUUGGAUUACUCAUUGUACAUCUAGAAAGAAUUGAUAUUCGUGUAUUAACCUUACAUACCAUAGCUAUUCUGAACUGAUUUUGUUUUUAAAAUUUUUUAUAUAAGAUUGUGCAUCUGUGAAUAUAAAUACUUUUGUUUCCUCUCCAAUCUGAAUUAUUUUUAUUUGAUUUCCCUGCCUAAGUGCCCUGGCUAGCACAUCCAGUAUAUAGAAGUAAAUAGAAGUGGCAAGAGUGUACAACUUUUUCUUGUUUCUGAUUGUAGUGGGAAAGCUUUAGGCCUUUCACCAUUAAAUAUGUUGUUAGCUGUGGGAUUUUCAUAGAUACUGCAAGUUGAGAAAUAUUCCAUCUAUUCCUACCUUACUGAGUCUUUUUUUUUUUUUAAUCAAAAAAGGGUAUUGAAUUUUGUCAAAUGCUUCUGUAUCUAAAAAGGUUGUCAUGUAGUUUUUGUCCUUUAUUGAUAUGUUGUAUUACAUUGAUGGAAUUUUUGUAUUGAACGAACCUUGCAUUCCUGGAAUAACCCCACUUGUCUAUGCUACAUAAACCAUUUUCUAUGCUGCUGG
rnacentral:lncRNA from 1 species